AAGGCACACCGUAUGGGGUAGCUCCAGUAUAAACACCAGAGGUCAACGUCUGUUCUAUGGAGAAAUUUUGAAAUAUGUAGCUCCAGCAAUGCUUUUCUUUCUUCGAGGCGGCUUCUCCGACAGCACUAUCAACAACAAAGUUGUAAUUUUGUAAAAUUAAAUAGUUAAGUUGCAGUAACCCAGUCGCACGUCGGGAGUAAGCGCAAUCAAUCAUAUUGUCUUUGACAACCACAGUCAAAAGCGAUAAAGAACAGCAUUGAAGUUGUCUGCAAGAUCAACAUCGAUAGCCGCAUUUUCGGUGUUAAGCACCUGAUUGCUGUUGGAUGCCGCAAAGCAACUUCGACGAACUGAACGAAUCGUGUAGCCGUCAGCAAAUGCAUACAGAAACAUAUUCAAAUUCGUAUAUAACAAAGAAAAAUGACUGUACAUUUGUGAAUUUCAUCACCGUUAGAUGGCUGAACGAACGUGCGUACGCGUGUCAACUACGACCCUUGCGGAAAUCUCAAUUUCCUUGUCUGAUUCUAAAGCAGUUCGACUACAAAAAGAGCACAUCAAAGUCGAAAGGGCGCAGCUGCAAAGACAUAUAUACAAGAAGUGAUGUGAUUCAACCAUUCAACACCAACAAUCGUCACUUCCAUCGCCAUUGUGCCCACAACCAUUAUCAUUACUCCCACCAUCAAUCCACAAAAUCAUAAGCAGCAUCAUCGCAGCGAGGGACGACUUUAACCUGCUGCACUAUAGCCAACAGCACUAGCACCACGCCAUGCGGCACGUUUUUAGGAUUUUUUUUGGCCUUGGCAUCGAAAAUACUUUACGUCAGCUAUCACUUAUGAAUAUAUGUACAUUUGUAUAUUCUUACCGCCAAACGCUUGCGGAAACAUGUCGGGUGCACUAGAGCGAAGUGAUUUUAUUUUUUACUGGUUGCAAUAAAAAAGGUGGGCGCUACGAUGUAAUUAUACUAUAUUGGCAUCACACAAUUUUAGUAACUUACAUUUCAUAAAAGGUCUUUGGGAGGAUCUUGAAAAUUUAUAACUAAUUUUAACUACAUAGAAUAUUUUUUAAGAUGUAUACACAAAGUUAAAUAUUUUUCAGUAAAAAUUGUUUGCCGAUAUGUUGGCGUAUCGUUGUCGAUGCGGGAAUUUCUUAGCCAAAAAUUUCAAUUAUCCAACAACCAAAGCGAGAACAACAUGUCGGCAAUAGCAAAGGAAAUUAUUUUGGGUGUGACAAUAAUUUAACGCAGAAUUCGCUAGGUGUAAUAUACCAAAUUUUUUCUGCUGGAAUAUACGGAAAAUAUGCAAAUCAAAAAUCAAGAAAUUAUUACAUAAUAUAUAUACUGAAUGUAACUCAACUAAUUACUCAGACAGUUCUGAUCACUACCAUACAAACUGAGAGAUCAAAAUCAUGUCCUUGCAUUGAAUACUUUUUUAAUUCCGAGAUAUCUUCACGAAAUUUAGCGAGGAUUAUUAAGGCAACGGUACAAUUUCUGAAAUAACUGUUCAGAUUGGACUACUAUAGCAUAUAUAUAACUGUCAUAAACAACUGAUGGAUCAAAAUCAAGGCAAAGAUCUGUUUAUAUGUCUUGAUAAUAUAUGAAAUGUACCUGAGAAAUAUUUCUUGAAACUUCAAAAUUCGUUAGAGGGUGGAAAGUCCACACACCACUUGGCGGUUAGCAUUUCUCUUUUAAGUAAUAUCAAACCGGAGGAUGCAGACGUCUGCUGUACAGAAUAACAAUAAAUUAAUAAGUCGUUGGGAUCAUGUAAAAUGUGCAUUUAUCUACAAAUUCACAAAUAAAACACAGUCAAUAAGACAAGCGUAUAAUGGGCAAUAACAACUAAAUUUUAAG